GCAACUCGCCUACAUGAAGUCGGAAUUGCUAGUAAUCGCGGAUCAGCAUGCCGCGGUGAAUACGUUCCCGGGCCUUGUACACACCGCCCGUCACACCAUGGGAGCCGGUAAUACCCGAAGUCAGUAGUCCAACCUCGUGAGGACGCUGCCGAAGGUAGGAUUGGCGACUGGGGUGAAGUCGUAACAAGGUAAC
rnacentral:rRNA from 1 species